AAAUGGAAUUCCUUACAGUGAGGACAUUUCUACUCCAAAAUGAGAAAAUAUGUAAUGCAUUUGGAACACUGAGAACUGUUUUUGAAAGUUUCUACCUGUCAACUGCUCUAAAAGUCAAAAGGAGCUAUUUCUGGAGACCUCAACAAUGAUUGUAUGAGCAUCCACAUGUGUGAAGACUACAAAGGCAUGUCUACAAAGACAAUGAUGAGCUUGGACACAUUAAUUGUAUAGAGCUGGCAUCCUCUGCUGGUUCAGACAAGAAAGGAUCUUCCAUCUGGAAGAACACAAUGCAGAUAUCAACUAUUAAGCUGCCUGUCUCCUUAUGUCUAAACUAUCCUUUUUCAUUGAGUGAUUUUACAAAGUUUCCUGUCUUGCACUUGAAGAUAUCACUCAUUUCCUCUACUUAAGAACACUAGAAUUUUAUUCUCUCUCACCUUCUUGGAUGAGCCAUUAUACAGAUUAGAGCCUCUAAAUUGCCCAUUGCUUGCUCAAUGGAGUGCAUAAAACCUGGUUUAAGCAGCUCAUCACCUUUUUUGGUAUCCUGUUUAGCUCACUGUAACGUUAUUUAUUUUCAUUGAAUUAGAAAUGGAAAUCUGUUUUUGCUAUGGUCAGGUAGAGAUGUCAACUUUCCUUCACUUUCCUGUAAUGUCAUAUUUUUGCUAUUUUCCUUCACUGGAAAAUAUGAGAUGGUUACAUGACUGUUUCUGCUGCUCUUUCACUAUUCUCAUUUAAAUCAGUAGCAAACACUUCGGGAUCCCAUCUGCCUCUAAACCCUCAAAAUCCAGACCUGACCCGAACUAUUCCUUCUUGGAGCCCUGACAGACUUUGAAAGAGCCCAUGCCUCAAAAYGUCCAUCUGUUUAACUGCUGGGGCAAUGCAGAUCUGACAGAGUGAGCUGGGACAGAACGGUGUUCAUGCAAAGGAAACAUCUUCCUUUUUGCCUUUCGUUUGGGAGGUCUGUGGAUGAUUUUUGCUCUUGUUUUCAUAUCUCACUGUGGUAAAUGACUAUAUCUGGUAAACAAAUAAAGAGUUUAUCAAGAAAUAAAAACAAAAAAGCUGUGC